CUUGGUAGGAAUGUGGUGGUGGUGAUGAUAGCAACGGUGCUCCCGUUGGCAGUGGGUAUCUGGGUGGUGGUGAUGAUUUGCGUGGUGUUGGUGAGAUUGGGAAUGGGGUAUUGUUGGUUGUGUUUGGUGGUGGUGCUUGAUGUGGUGGUCAUCCUGGUGGCUAUGGUGGUUUUUGGAGGUGGAGACGGUGGUGAGGUUAUGGGUUUGUUAUCGUUGGUGUGUUUGGGUGGUGGUGGUUGUGGUGGUUUCUAGCGACGAUGGAGGUGGUUGUUAGUGGCAGCGAUUUUGUUUGUAAUAAUGUCGUGGAGUUGGUGUUGGCGGUUGUUGUGAUGGUGUUGUGGUCGGGGUAGUGUUUGUGACUAAGUACUAUGGUGGAUCGGGAUUGGGCGUUUGAUGUUUGUGACCAAUUAUUUGGUCUCCCCGUGACUGAUUAUUAAUCCGUGACUUAGAAUUCGAUCAUUUUGUGACUAAAAAAGUAAUCUGUGACCAUCAAAUUUGAAAAUAUGUGACAUGUGACCUAUAACUUUUUGGAUUUGUGACCAAUAACAUAAACUGUGACCUAUAAAAUUGAUGGAUAAAUUGUGAUCCGUGACCACAAAAUAAUUUGUGACCAAUUAAUUUGAUAAUAUGUGACCAGUGAAUAAAUCGUGACCUAUAAUUGUGUGCACGUGACCAUUAAUUAUAUAAUUAUGAUUUUAUUAUAUUUAAUUAAUAAAUAUUUUUAACUAAUUAGAUAAAAACCUG
rnacentral:lncRNA from 1 species